GAGCAGCGAACGGGUGAGUAACGCGUGGGGAAUCUGCCUUUGAGCGGGGGACAACAUUUGGAAACGAAUGCUAAUACCGCAUAAAAACUUUAAACACAAGUUUUAAGUUUGAAAGAUGCAAUUGCAUCACUCAAAGAUGAUCCCGCGUUGUAUUAGCUAGUUGGUAAGGUAAUGGCUUACCAAGGCGAUGAUGCAUAGCCGAGUUGAGAGACUGAUCGGCCACAAUGGGACUGAGACACGGCCCAUACUCCUACGGGAGGCAGCAGUAGGGAAUCUUCCACAAUGGGCGAAAGCCUGAUGGAGCAACGCCGCGUGUGUGAUGAAGGGUUUCGGCUCGUAAAACACUGUUGUAAGAGAAGAAUGACAUUGAGAGUAACUGUUCAAUGUGUGACGGUAUCUUACCAGAAAGGAACGGCUAAAUACGUGCCAGCAGCCGCGGUAAUACGUAUGUUCCAAGCGUUAUCCGGAUUUAUUGGGCGUAAAGCGAGCGCAGACGGUUAUUUAAGUCUGAAGUGAAAGCCCUCAGCUCAACUGAGGAAUUGCUUUGGAAACUGGAUGACUUGAGUGCAGUAGAGGAAAGUGGAACUCCAUGUGUAGCGGUGAAAUGCGUAGAUAUAUGGAAGAACACCAGUGGCGAAGGCGGCUUUCUGGACUGUAACUGACGUUGAGGCUCGAAAGUGUGGGUAGCAAACAGGAUUAGAUACCCUGGUAGUCCACACCGUAAACGAUGAGUGCUAGGUGUUUGAGGGUUUCCGCCCUUAAGUGCCGCAGCUAACGCAUUAAGCACUCCGCCUGGGGAGUACGACCGCAAGGUUGAAACUCAAAGGAAUUGACGGGGACCCGCACAAGCGGUGGAGCAUGUGGUUUAAUUCGAAGCAACGCGAAGAACCUUACCAGGUCUUGACAUCCCUUGACAACUCCAGAGAUGGAGCGUUCCCUUCGGGGACAAGGUGACAGGUGGUGCAUGGUUGUCGUCAGCUCGUGUCGUGAGAUGUUGGGUUAAGUCCCGCAACGAGCGCAACCCUUAUUACUAGUUGCCAGCAUUCAGUUGGGCACUCUAGUGAGACUGCCGGUGACAAACCGGAGGAAGGUGGGGAUGACGUCAAAUCAUCAUGCCCCUUAUGACCUGGGCUACACACGUGCUACAAUGGCGUAUACAACGAGUUGCCAACCCGCGAGGGUGAGCUAAUCUCUUAAAGUACGUCUCAGUUCGGAUUGUAGGCUGCAACUCGCCUACAUGAAGUCGGAAUCGCUAGUAAUCGCAGGUCAGCAUACUGCGGUGAAUACGUUCCCGGGCCUUGCACACACCGCCCGUCA
rnacentral:rRNA from 1 species